UCAUUCUAAAAGGAAUAUUGUUGUAGAUGUUCUUUCUAAUAGAGUAUCAAAAUUCAAAAGGUUGGACUUCCAUGGAUUCUAUACCAUGGUUUUGCAAAUUGGAGAUGAAGUGACAUGCGUGGCCACUGUGAGGAUCCACGGACCAACUGUUGCUGAAAUGCCUCUAAUUUGUACCGGUUUUAAGUACCGGCAGAAGGGAAUGUGCCAUGUUCUUGUUAAU